CAGGCGCUGCCCUCCAUCCAAAUCCCGGUGUCCCCCCACAUCUUCACCAGCAUCAGCUGGGCCGCCGCCACCUCCACCCUGCCGUCCCUGUCACCGGUCCGGAGUCGCUCGCUGAGCUUCAGCGAACCCCAAACGCCGCUGCUCAAAUCCCACCUGAUCGUCGCCUCCCCACCCAGGGUGUCCCUGGGCACCAGGAAAAUCCGGGGCGAAGCCAAGAAGUGCCGCAAGGUUUACGGCAUCGAGCACCGGGACCAGUGGUGCACGGCCUGCCGCUGGAAAAAGGCCUGCCAGCGCUUCCUGGACUGACCCCUGCCAUCCCAUUCCCGAAUUCCCACACUGCUGCAACCAGGGAAACCUUGGAAGUACCUCCGGGAGCCUCCGGAGUCGCCUCCGGAGCUGCGCGAAAAUUCCUCCUCUUCCUCCUCCUCCUUCUCCGUCUGGGUUUGCUCUUUUUUUAACGGAAAAAAAAACCCUUUCCCACUUCUUUUAUGGUUUCUAAAACAUGGAAAAUCCUUCCCUCUUUCGCACCGGGAUUGGGAAGGGAGGGGGUUGCUCCUUCUGGGUGGGAUGAGGGGGCCAAAAAGCUUCCUGAUUUUCCCACAUCGGCCCGAAAAUCCCCCGAACUUUUGGCUCGAGUUGGGGAUAGGGGGAGGUUUUGACUUUGACUCCCUGGAAAGUGCAAAUCCCUCUUUUCCUGUGAGGAAAAAGGGAGGCUGGAAAAGCUUUUAAAGAGGAAAACACCCCGAGGAACUUGGGAUUUUAUUUUUUGAGAUGAGGGGGAAGGGAAAGGAGUUGGAAAUUUCUCACCUCACACCCAGCGGUUCCUCCUGAAGGAGGAAUUUGGGGGGGCAAAAAAAGCCCAUCCCAAAUGUUGGAAGCGGGAAAAGUGGGAUUUUAGGGCAAAAUGUGAUUUUUCCUCCUCAUUUUAGACUUUGGGAGUUUGUGCAACCCCCCCUGGAAAAAAAAAACCUCCUUGACUUAUCCAGGCUGGAUGGAUUUAAUUAAGAUUUAAUUAAGAUUCCAGCAGCUGGAAAGGCUGGGAAAAAUUUUUCCUUGGCCCCAGUUCCCCUCUCUCCGGGGUCAUUCCCUCGGACACCUGAUUUUGGUUGGGAAUUUCCCUCCAGC